UACGGAAGGCAGCAGUGGGGAAUAUUGCACAAUGGGCGCAAGCCUGAUGCAGCCGUGCCGCGUGUAUGAAGAAGGCCUUCGGGUUGUAAAGUACUUUCAGUCGUGAGGAAGGUGUUAAGGUUAAUAACCUUAGCAAUUGACGUUAGCGACAGAAGAAGCACCGGCUAACUCCGUGCCAGCAGCCGCGGUAAUACGGAGGGUGCGAGCGUUAAUCGGAAUUACUGGGCGUAAAGGGCACGCAGGCGGUUAAUUAAGUUGGAUGUGAAAUCCCCGGGCUUAACCUGGGAAUGGCAUUCAAGACUGGUUAGCUAGAGUCUUGUAGAGGGGGGUUAGAAUUCCAUGUGUAGCGGUGAAAUGCGUAGAGAUGUGGAGGAAUACCGGUGGCGAAGGCGGCCCCUGGACAAAGACUGACGCUCAUGUGCGAAAGCGUGGGGAGCAAACAGGGAUUAGAUACC
rnacentral:rRNA from 1 species